rnacentral:rRNA from 1 species
AGACGUCUACAUUAGAUACCCGCGUAGUCCAGGGUGUAAACGCUGCAGACUUGGUGUUGGAGGCCCGUUUGGGGGCAUUCAGUGCCGGAGAGAAGUUGUUAAGUCUGCUACUUGGGAGUACGUCCGCAAGGAUGAAACUUAAAGGAAUUGGCGGGGAGCACAACAACGGGUGGAGCCUGCGGUUUAAUUGGACUCAACGCCGGACAACUCACCGGGGACGACAGCAAUAUGUAGGCCAGGCUGAAGACCUUGCCUGAAUCGCUG